GCGAUGAACCAGACUGCCGCGGGGGGCGGGGGAAUUGCCCCUUCCCCUUGAGGAAAGUCCGGGCUCCGCAGGGCAUGAUGCCGGGUAAUUCCCGGGCGGGAAGGACGAAAGUCUUUUUCGACAGAAAGCGCAGCAGAAAGUAAACCGCCGUUUAACGGUAAGGGUGAAAGGGCGGGGUAAGAGCCCACCUCGGCGGCGGCAACGCCGCCGGAAAGAUUUCAGGUUUAUCCUGAAAAACGGCAAGCCUCAUCAGGAGCAAAGUCAAGCAGCGGUUUAACGGCCCGUUAAAAACCGCGGGUAGACUGCAUGGAACUUGCCUGUAAAGGCAAGCCAAGACAGAUGGCAUUGCACGGCCAUACCGGCGCAGGCCGGCAUAGCCGCGACAGAACCCGGCUUAUGGUUCAUCGUUUUU
rnacentral:RNase_P_RNA from 1 species